CACUUACACUUGGGUUGUCAGGUCAGUAGUUGGGGGUUGUGUCACUGAAGGGCUGCAAGCAAGUAGAGUCUGAUAGUUAAGGAAAGAGU